AUAAAUUUGUAUUUUAUAGAUGUCUUAUGGAAUGAGGAUUCAAGGAACUGGAAGUAACGACGGGCCUAAACUGGAAGAAUCCGUCGCUGACUCGACGCAGAGAAUUGAAAGAGCUGCAUACAAGAAACUGAUGAUCGAAACAAAGCGAAGCCGCUACAGGCAAGUUGUGUUUCUUUAUCUAACCUAUUUUUUUUAACUAACGUAAUUGAACAAUUAUAGUGUUUACUACUCGGAGGAAGACGACGAUGAAGAAGGAAUUCGUGAAUGGUGCAAAACUACCGAGUUCAGUGGAAGAGCUGAUUUUCUUUGGUACGAUGUUCCGACCUAUGUGGACAAUUCAUAAUUUUUUUACGAUUCUGACUUUCGAACAACCCACUGUGAUGCCGACAACCCUACAUUUCAAAUUCAGGCAUUAUUUUGUUUUUGUUUUUUCAAGUUUUGACCGUCACGAAGUUCUCAACUGACCGAUUAGAACUCCAAAUUCUCUUAAAACUGUUAGUCCCCUUGACGUUUAUUCCCGUCUCGUCUUCUGUAGUGUUGUACAAAUUUAAAGUAUCCGAAUGAAAUCUUCUGCGUCACGUUUGGAUUUUAGCGCUCGACAUUUUAUUUCAAAUCGCGUUUAUUUUAAUCGUUCGUGGAUUCUGAGCAAUCUUCUAAGCGAUCUGUUCUCUGUCGCUACAUGGUUAAACUUAUGUUUACCAGAUGGCGAUUGCCUUUGUGAGGAAUUAUAUCGGCAAUUUGUUUUCGAGCAUUUUCGAGACGCUGAGCGAAAUCCAUUGUUGUAUUUCAAGUUUUCGACAUUUCUUUUAAGAGAAUGGAAAAGGUCAAGUAGCCUAUAAUUUCAACUAUAGGCCAAAUCAGUGAAUCACCUAUUCUCGUGGCCAACACUGCUGUCACGAAAGUCUUCUCUUGGCAGUGUAGGCUGUAGCUGCUGUACGUCUCAUUCCAUGAGGAAAUACAACAGUUGAGCUAGGAUGAUGCUCAUCUUCUGCCUGGCACAACAUUCGACCAGCAAUCAACUUCAAUAUGGCACGAAAGAGAUAAAGGGCUGAAAAAAAGAGAUCAAUGGAAUACAUAUUGUUAAUUAUACCAAAGGUUAAAAACACAAAAUCUGGGAAGAGAAAAUAAUUCAUUUUCUCUUUUACAGCCAAUGGAAUUGGCGCUAGUUGUUUGCGAAUGUUAUUUGAAGACCAGGAAGGUGACAGGUGACCAGUGAAGGUGACUUUGAAUGCUUGCAUUCAAAGUCUUAAACUUUUCCAUCAUGAAAUGAAAAGAGUAGUUUUAGUUUAGAUUCUUCAAGGUUGCUGAAUGCCAACAAUUAUGCAUUAAUUUAACGUAAUUUUUAGUGAGAAAUUUAAAUUUGGUCAAGUCUGCUCUUGUGGCCUAAAGUGCACUCAUAAAAUGUCUUGUAAUCUGUAGGCUGCAGUUGCUGUACAUCUCAUCCCACGAAGAAAUACAACAGCAAUUGAAGUAAU